GUUGUACUCCCUCCGUUCUGAAUUACUUGUCUUGGAUUUGUCUAGAUACGGAUGUAUCUAGACUCAUUUUAGUGCUAGAUACUUCUGUAUCUAGACAAAUCCAAGACAAGUAAUUCAGAACGGAGGGAGUACAUG
rnacentral:pre_miRNA from 1 species